ACAUGAGAGACGGGAAACAGGCUGGUGACGAAGCAUGUGUGCAUGAGAGAGAGAGAGAGAGUGAGAGAGAGAGAAACAACCAUACCGGCAGCUUCGAGCUGAUUACACUCCAACGGCCAGCACACACACUUUUGUGAGCUAAUGGAUGCUUUCCAGCUUCUCUUUCUUGUUGCAGUGGUGACAUCCAUAUCAGAAUGGAAAUCAGUUUCAGAUUCUGGCAAAUCACAAUGUGAGAUCAUGAAUGAGGAGAGCAUUACAGUGCUUGAAGGGGAGUCUCUUUUUAUGUACCUUUUAUUUUAGAACCAAACUUCAACAAUAAAAAUUUUACAUGGUACAAAUAUAGCACCCAAAUUCAGAAUAUUUCCUCUGAUAAGAAAGCCAGGGUGCAUUACCAAGGCGAAGCACUGUUUCUCUUAAACCUCAACAUUUCUGAUUCUGGAGAUUACGCUGCUUGGGAAAUCAAGUCUUCAGGACAAUGUUU